AUUCUGAGAUUAAUCACAGUUUGGAAAAGUUUUUUUGUAACUCGUCAGAGUUUUGUGCAUCUCACUGAACAAACACAUUAUUUUAAAAAUCAACAAGCGGGAAACAAAGUCGCAUGCUUCUAUACGGCCACAGCUUAUAGCUGGGAAUGGCUGGCUGGAACCCUGAAUAGGAACACUCCUUUCAAUAGAAAUGAUCCAGGCAGGUCCCUCUUUCCAAACAUAAUGCAUUCCCAGGAAAUUGUUCAUUAGGCAAGUGUUCACAUAACAAGCUGACAAUUUUUAUCAUUUCCUAUGGGAACAUUUCUAAUGCAUGAUUUGUACAUCUCUUCCCCCACCCCUCCACAGUUUCUUCCUGAGCCAGGAAAACAGAGACAAAGUAGGGGCUUGGAUCAGUCUAAUAUCUACCAUAGUGUGCAAGAAGAAAUGCCAUUGAGGUGGCUCUGAUGACUUCUUUGCUCCUGCAAUGAAGCAAAGUACAGGCGACUACCAUAUCACACGGGGUUUCCGUUCCUGGCCCCCACACACAUCCGCAGAGUGCACAUAAGCGCCCCCUGCCCUGUUACAUCUUGUCUCUGUUACGCUCUUGUUCUAUCCCUCGUCUUCCCUCUUCCGGGUCCAAAAGUACCUGUGCUUCAGUGAUCACACGUCAUAUGGACAUGCCUAAAAUGGUCGCUUUUGCAUGGAAGCUUUUGAAUGGAAGCUUUUGCAGCCUCCAAUGUGUUCCACCUCAUGAUAAUCAGAUCCUGUUACAUAAUCUGUAUUUUUGGCUAAAUUCGAUUGCUAUUUUAUAUUGUUCAGGUCAAUUUAUUGCAUGCACGGCCCUUUUAUUUUAUUAAUAAAUAUUAAAGUUGGGGGGACAUUGCACCAAUAAGUGGUACACAAAUAAGCCAUACCAUACUACCAUAGCAUCUUUCUCUUUCUUCUGGGCCUUUGAGUACUACUCUUAAACUGUUUGUCCACAGAAACAGAAAUGUUGAGUAACCAAGUACUGCAGGAUUUAUAUUUUUCUUCUGACAACUUCUCAUACAUUUCACUAGAAAACAUGAUUAUUUGAUGGCUGCAUUCAGGAGCCGAAUACAUUUAAUCUGCUCACAGCAUAUGAAAGGCAUCCAGAAAGCUUUACAUUAGAUACACAGAGGUUCUCGGUAUGUCAGCAGUGAAAUCAGCAUUUUGUAAGUCUUCUUCCUAUUUCCUGGUUUUCAUGUAAUUUUAUUUUCUCUUUGAAGUCUGUGGAAGAGUCCAGAAGGGGAAGCCUUUCAUUAUGCCCAUGAAUUAUUCAGUUAUGGUUCUUAGAGUUAACAUUGCUUUAAAUGGCUUAAAGGUUUUCCAUUUUAGUGUUUGCGGGCUCUUUUUAUGACUGUGUGCCACGCUUCUCAGUUAAAAUCUUUGAAUUAGUUGUUGCUAGAAACACUUUCAGUCUUUAAUUUGUAUGAUUGUGUUCUAAAAAAUGUGUUCAAAACAUUUCUGUUAUCUGUGGAAAAUCUUUAGUCAUAUACCAUAAUAUUGUAAGUCAUGUGUUUGUUCUCAUGGGCUUGGCCUGUAGGUAAAAUAGCUGAAGGGAAGGUAUAUCUGUUUUCUUUUAAAUUCUGCAAUCUUCUUCAUCUUCUUCUUCUUGAAACAUAUAGCACUGUGUGUCACUGCUCUCUGGUGAAAGGCUAGAUGGAGUUAGAGCAUGAGAGGGUCUGUGAAUUUCCCACUGUGCGAGAUCAUGACAUAUACAGUGGUACCUCGGGUUAGGAACGUAAUUCGUUCUGGAGGUCCGUUCUUAACCUGAAACUGUUCUUAACCUGCUGGGUUCCAGGCCCAAUUCAAAAUGCUAGUUUUGUCACUGAGAGCUCAUCAUCCCUCAUCAUCCCUCACAACACUUAGAGGACCAGGAAUUCCCCUAUCCCUGCCCUAAACUGUUUGGGAUCAGGGUAUCUCUGAAAAACUGCCUGUUUCCAUUCAAACUUGCCAUUGCCCAUGUUGUCAUCGGGAGUCCUGUUCCAGGUACCCCCACAUCUUGAGAGUAGAGGUUUGUACAGCUUCUCUCUCUUUUUUUUUAUGAUAUUUAUUGAUUUUUUUUAAA